rnacentral:rRNA from 1 species
UAAUGCCGGAUGCUCCGACUCCUCGCAUGGGGUGUCGGGAAAGAUUUCAUCGGUAUGGGAUGGGGUCGCGUCCUAUCAGGUAGUCGGCGGGGUAACGGCCCACCGAGCCUACGACGGGUAGCCGGCCUGAGAGGGCGACCGGCCACAUUGGGACUGAGAUACGGCCCAGACUCCUACGGGAGGCAGCAGUGGGGAAUAUUGCACAAUGGGCGCAAGCCUGAUGCAGCGACGCCGCGUGCGGGAUGACGGCCUUCGGGUUGUAAACCGCUUUUGAUCGGGAGCAAGCCUUCGGGUGAGUGUACCUUUCGAAUAAGCACCGGCUAACUACGUGCCAGCAGCCGCGGUAAUACGUAGGGUGCAAGCGUUAUCCGGAAUUAUUGGGCGUAAAGGGCUCGUAGGCGGUUCGUCGCGUCCGGUGUGAAAGUCCAUCGCUUAACGGUGGAUCUGCGCCGGGUACGGGCGGGCUGGAGUGCGGUAGGGGAGACUGGAAUUCCCGGUGUAACGGUGGAAUGUGUAGAUA